ACUCCUACGGGAGGCAGCAGUGGGGAAUAUUGCACAAUGGGGGAAACCCUGAUGCAGCCAUGCCGCGUGUGUGAAGAAGGCCUUCGGGUUGUAAAGCACUUUCAGUAGGGAGGAAGGUAGUGUAGUUAACACCUGCAUUAUUUGUACGUUACCUACAGAAGAAGCACCGGCUAACUCCGUGCCAGCAGCCGCGGUAAUACGGAGGGUGCGAGCGUUAAUCGGAAUUACUGGGCGUAAAGCGCAUGCAGGCGGCCUGUUAAGUCAGAUGUGAAAGCCCGGGGCUUAACCUCGGAAUUGCAUUUGAAACUGGCAGGCUAGAGUCUUGUAGAGGGGUUAGAAUUUCAGGUGUAGCGGUGAAAUGCGUAGAGAUCUGAAGGAAUACCAGUGGCGAA
rnacentral:rRNA from 1 species